rnacentral:rRNA from 1 species
GUACACGCUGUGACUAGCAUAUCAAUAAGCGGAGGAAAAGAAACUAACAAGGAUUCCCUUAGUAACGGCGAGUGAAGCGGGAAGAGCUCAAAUUUGAAAUCUUCAAGGUUUUACCUUGACGAAUUGUAGUUUAAAGAAGUGUUUUCUGCUGAAGUUUUGGUGAAAGUUCUUUGGAAUAGGACAUCAUAGAGGGUGAGAAUCCCGUAUUUGACCAUUAUUUUCAGCUUUGUGAUACACUUUCAAAGAGUCGGAUUGUUUGGGAAUGCAGCCCAAAACGGGAGGUAAAUUUCUUCUAAGGCUAAAUAUUGGCGAGAGACCGAUAGCGAACAAGUACCGUGAGGGAAAGAUGAAAAGAACUUUGAAAAGAGAGUUAAACAGUACGUGAAAUUGUCAAAAGGGAAGCGUUUGACACCAGUGCUGUUUUCUCGAAAAUCAAUUAAAAAUGGCUCGAUUUUGUAUUGCUUGAGACCUUAAAAGCUCACUGUACAUUUUUCGUGUCUUUUUUAAUGCACUUUUCGUUUAACAAGUCAACAUCAGUUUCUUUUGUUGUAAAAGGGUCAUUGGAAGGUGGCUUUCUUUUCGGAGAAAGUGUUUAUAGCCUUUGGCCUCUGCAAUCGGAGAGACUGAGGUCUGCAGCGUAGACUCUUCGGGUUAGAUACAUUUGUGCUAAGUUAUAGCUUUUUAUAGACAACUUGUUGACUAUAAUUAGUCUUGUAGCUUACUCGCUUAUGCUAUUUUACCUACGCUUAGGAUGUUGAGUAGCGACAUACGCAC